CCUACGGGUGGCAGCAGUGGGGAAUAUUGCACAAUGGGCGCAAGCCUGAUGCAGCCAUGCCGCGUGUGUGAAGAAGGCCUUCGGGUUGUAAAGCACUUUCAGCGGGGAGGAAGGCGUUAAGGUUAAUAACCUUGGCGAUUGACGUUACCCGCAGAAGAAGCACCGGCUAACUCCGUGCCAGCAGCCGCGGUAAUACGGAGGGUGCAAGCGUUAAUCGGAAUUACUGGGCGUAAAGCGCACGCAGGCGGUCUGUCAAGUCGGAUGUGAAAUCCCCGGGCUCAACCUGGGAACUGCAUUCGAAACUGGCAGGCUAGAGUCUUGUAGAGGGGGGCAGAAUUCCAGGUGUAGCGGUGAAAUGCGUAGAGAUCUGGAGGAAUACCGGUGGCGAAGGCGGCCCCCUGGACAAAGACUGACGCUCAGGUGCGAAAGCGUGGGGAGCAAACAGGAUUAGAUACCCGUGUAGUC
rnacentral:rRNA from 1 species